UCGUACAACGGAGGUGCGAGGGUUGUCGCUGGCCCCUUCAAAGGUGUCGUGCACGCCCAAGCACACUCCCAUACAUCCAUCUCACACCUUUGUGCAUCACCGCGUGGGGUCACCCUUUGUUGGGAGGGCUCACGUUUUUAUACAGACCACCACAUGUGUAGAAUGUCUUACUAUUUGCGAUAAUGCGCAAUCAAUA
rnacentral:misc_RNA from 1 species